rnacentral:rRNA from 1 species
UGCCAGACUCCUACGGGAGGCAGCAGUGAGGAAUAUUGGUCAAUGGGCGGGAGCCUGAACCAGCCAAGUCGCGUGAGGGAAGACGGUCCUACGGAUUGUAAACCUCUUUUGCCGGGGAGCAACGGGGUCCUUGCGAGGGCCCGAUGAGAGUACUCGGAGAAAAAGCAUCGGCUAACUCCGUGCCAGCAGCCGCGGUAAUACGGAGGAUGCGAGCGUUAUCCGGAUUUAUUGGGUUUAAAGGGUGCGUAGGCGGAAUGCCAAGUCAGCGGUAAAAUCGCGGGGCUCAACCUCGCUCCGCCGUUGAAACUGGCGUUCUUGAGUGGGCGAGAAGUAUGCGGAAUGCGUGGUGUAGCGGUGAAAUGCAUAGAUAUUACACAGAACACCGAUUGCGAAGGCAGCUUGCUAGGCCGGAUCUGACACUGAUGCACGAAAGCGUGGGGAUCGAACAGGAUUAGAUACCCUUGUA